AGCACAUCCAGAGCCUGCCAGCUAACUUCUGAUUGGUUCCUUGCCACAUGGAGGGUGUCUGACUUCCUAGUGACCAGGAGGUUGGGCAAGAUCAGGAAGCUCAGACACAUUUUGCUGUGUCAGAGGACUACAUCUUGCUUGGUCUGUCAUGGCUACCAAAGCAGGGUACUGGGAAUAGAAGCAACACAAGGCCCAUCCCAGAAGUUGAGUAGAUAUCAGCUUCAUUCAAGUGUCAGAGCUGUCAGCCAAAAUAAAGACCUCUUCUUUAGACACUACUCAGCCUUGGGGAAUCUAUUACAGCAAUAAAAAGCAGUGUUUGGAAUUUUACUGAGUUAUCAGCCGCCCGGAACAACCACCCCCAGGGAACUCCUGCACUCCUUUAUUUGUUGCUGCUGUGCUACCCAAGUCUUGAGUAUGAAUAAAAACAUUAGAUGAUGUCAUCACAUCACAUUUACAUACCCAUGCACACCACAUUAAAAUUACAUAAUUUGUAUAUGUAAAUACAGUUUUGAUUAUGGCUGCAUAAUUGAAUGUCUAUGUUGUGGAACACUGUUCUCCAGGUAUGACAUGACCUUUAUCCUCUUGAAAUCAGAGUAGCCAUUACUACCCAUGGGAGACCCUUAGAUAAAGGAGCCUAUUAGCCUUUGCUUUAGCCUUUGCUUUGUGGAGAGGGGGAGGAGGGCUCACAAAGUGAGAAACAGUGAGAGAUAGUCUGUGUAAGGCCUAAUCCCUGGGGGAGACAGAGGUUUUCUUUGGUAGUAUGGUCACCAGUAAUUAGCUCAUACAAUUAAAUUCAUUAGUUCACCAAACUCAGAUGAAUGGAAUCUUUUCUCUGAUCUGUUGUUGUACCCUAGUUGGAGGACUAGCCAUGCGUUUAUCUCUUCCCAAAAAAUGCAAUGCAACUGUAUCUUAUUAUUUAUCACAAAUUACUAUUCUUGCUAUUACAAAUAAGACAUUAGAUUGACUUUUUAAAUCACAUGUAUAGGUAAAUUAUAUUUUCAUUUUAUUUCAUUUGAGGCUUUUACUGGAAGACAAUGCAUUUACUUAUAUAAAGAAGUGUUAGAGCCAGGUGCAAUGGAGGCUUUAAUCCUAGCACUCGGGAGGCAGAGGCAGACAGAUCUCUGUGAGUUUGAGGCCAGCCUGGUCUACUGCCACACCUGUGCUUAUGUAAGGAAUCCUAAUCAAAUUUAGUGUGUCACGGGGGUGGGCCUAGGCCCUAUCCCAAAGGAUACGAUAGACUCUGAUGGCAUCCUAUGGAAGGCAUCACCAUCCAGGGGGAGCAGAAAGGAUAUGUGAUGGGUAGGGUUUUAGUUGGAGGGUAGGUGGUAGGGAGGAGAGGAGGGAGAAGGGAACUGAGGUUGUAAUAUAAAACAAUCUUGUUUCUAAUUCAAAUAAAAAAUCUGCAAAAAAAAUUUAGUGUGUCAUUUUUUUUUAAGGCAUGGAAUUAGGCAGGGAAUUUUCUGGUAAGGAGGGGUUCAGAAGGAGUG
rnacentral:lncRNA from 1 species